UACAGCUUGAACCAAUCUACAGAGCAAAAUAUCCUUCCUUCAUCAGAGUGAUUGUCUUACGCUUCAGUCCUGGGUCAAUCAUCACGGAUACACAACUAGUUUUUAACUCCACACAAGCUGUUCCAACCGUUCAAGAGAUUGCGAAUGCUCUCUUGACAGCAGUGGAAACAGGAGGUGUCGAUCCACUGAAAAUAAUCCCUACAACAGUUUCAGUCAAUGGUUCAGUUAUAGCUACGACUGUUGCUGCAACUACAACUACAACUAAAACUGCAGCUGCAACUACAGCUUCAAGUGGACUGAAGAUUGAA
rnacentral:lncRNA from 1 species